CUGCACACUUCAACUCUUGUGUACGGUAACGAGGACCAAAUACUUGGAACAAUUGGUAUGUCCACUUGGCUUAUGGAGAAAGUUGAUGAAGCCAUUCCCAGGAUCCUGGAGUGGCUCAGAUAACUCUAAAAGCCCUCAAUGGAAGAGCUUCAACUUAUCAAAAAUGUGCAUACUAAUUCAACGUCUGCGGAGAGGAAAAUUCAACUUGAGGCAGCAGUAGAAAUUACGCAGAUGACCCACAGAAAAACGCCAUUUUUUUAGUCUUUGUUUGGUCGGGAAGUGUAAUCUCUUUCUAAGUGGAAAUGGUUGAGGCGGAUUCCACAGACAUGUGUAGGAAAAAUUGCAAGAGGUGCUCACGAGGCCAGUGGAGCAUCAACCUGCUAAUGGUAACUGGCUUGGACAAGAGCUAAGAGUCGUCCCCUACAAUGAUGAAGCAGAUUGAUGGCAAGUCCUGGGAGGGAACAACAUGGCGAGGUCGUGUCUGAGACGUAUAUAGCGAAUGGAAUGAUCAUACAACAGCAGUAUACAUCUGAUCCAAUGAUCCCUACAUACUCAUGCCU